AUGGCUGUCAGGCUCCUCUGCUACGUGGCCCUUUACCUUAUGGGAGCAGGCCUUGUGGACACUGAUGUUUACCAGACCCCAAGAUACCGUGUUACAGGGACAGGAAAGAAGGUUACUCUGGAAUGCUCUCAAACCAUGGGCCAUGACAACAUGUACUGGUAUCAGCAAGACUCAGGAAUGGAACUACAGCUGAUGCAUUAUUCAUAUGGGGUUAACACCACAGAGAAAGGAGAGCGCUCUUCUAGGUCAAGUGUCUCCAGAAUAAGGAAAGAGCGUUUUCCCCUCACGCUAGAGAUUGCCAGCCCCUCACAGACAUCUAGGUACUUCUGUGCCAGCAGUGAAUACACAGCAGUACACAGGCACCCACAGACUGCACAAAAAAGGUUAAUGGAAUUUUAACAAAAUCUGCAUGAGACAUAAGGAACAGAAAUUAUGGUUACAAAGAAAACCCUCAAAUAUCUCCUCUUUAUUUGGCCCUGGAUUUCUUUGGAGACCAUCCUGA